UAAAAAUGAAAUGUUUUUCUCUUUCCUUAUCUUCAAACUUGCAGCGUUAUGGAUUUGCAGUCUAUGGAGAGUGUUGUUGGGUCUCUAAAUGAGGGGAUUGUCUCUAUCUGUAACAUCUCCAAGUCUCUCUUGGAUGCACAAGUUGAUCACAGCACACUGAAAAAGAUUAUACUAAAUUGUUUUAAGUGCAAAUGCAUGUGCAGUAAUAAUGGACAAAUCAGGAUGCAUGUGGAGCAUAUGGAGCAUGCUGAGCAGUGCCUGGAAAACUCAGAAACAAUGAUUAAGGAAAAACUAAAAUAUUUAGAAGAAUGCAUGGAGCAACUUAUUAAAGAAAAAGAAAAUGCUGAGCAGCAGAACAAAGAAAAAUGCAAUGCCAUGGAUGAAUUACACAAUGAGAAGAACUCUGCUGAAGAAUCAUUAAAGAAUUCUAAAGCAGCUUUGGAACAGGCUGAAAAAGAUGAACUACAAAGACAGCAAGCUAGACAUAACACUGGCACAGGUGUAACAAUUGGAGGGGCGGCAGUGGCUGCAAUACCAAUUAUCGGAUGGAUUCCUGGUAUAAUAAUGAUUUCUGUGGGAGCUAGUGAAAUUGUUAAGGCUUCAAACGCUAUCAGGGAAGCUGAAAAUGAGCUAAAAAUACAGGAGUCCGAGGUGAAUGAGAAGAGCAUGAAAGUGUCUGAUUACCAAUCCAAGAUCGCUACCAUACAGAAUGAGACUGAAGAGACAGUUGAGUUGCUAAAUAAAUUGGAGAAGGAGACUGAAGAGGUGAAGCAGCAUCUACAGUUCACAGCUGAUAUUCAGGAAACGGUCAGGAGAGCUGUGACCCUUCUGACUGUUCUUAAUGAAAGUCUCACUGUAUUGGAGAAACAAACUCAGAGCUUCAUCCUCUGGGAGCCUGUGAUAAAUGCCAUGGAAGAUGUGAUAAAGGCAGCAGAAAAUGUUGCAGAGAAUCGUCUCCUUUAUAGUCAGGGUUUACCAGGCUUCAUAAAUACUUUGAGGGAGAAUAUUGGAGAAAUACGGGCUAUAUGCAACUCUCCCAAUAAUUCUGAACAUGACCUCUAUUACUAAUCAUCAUCUAAUUAAUACCUAGAAACCACUUUACAUAAGCACCUUACAGUGCUUAAUAAUAAUUGAUUACAUAUUCUAAUAAUAAUAAAUAGCAUCACCACCACCA
ensembl:lncRNA